GUCGGGGGAAGGAAAGAACAGGAGAGGAAAAGCAGGAGCAUGCGAUUUCUCACAGCUCUGAGAUUCUCCUGCCUCUAAGUGGCUCCAGUUCACCACUCAUGGGGGGCCCAAGGGAGAGAAGAUGAUGGCUUAGACCAGUGGGAGCUGUGGAGAUGCUGAGAAGCAACUGGAUUCAAGAUAAGUUUUGGAAGCAUGCGUACAAGAUUUGCUGUUUUCUGGCUCCUAUAAUUUAUGAUUUUGCGCUGGGGAAGCAGAAAGACCGAACGUUCCAGUCUGACGUGGGGAAGCACUAAGGGCCUCCUUCUGUUCUGAUGGAGAAACCAUUUUCCCGUGAAGCACGUGCAGGACUUCACCUCCUUCCUGCUGGGUCCACAUGCAGUGUUGGGAACACCACACAACUCAGAGAGCCCAUGUGAAGGCCCUUUGUGAAGAGCUGUGCCUACUGCAAACCCAUUUCUUAACCUACUUCCAGUCGUAUCUUUCACCACAUAACAUUUUAUUUCUUAUUCGCCCAGGAGGAAAUAGAAGUCUUGGGUUAGACAGAAUGGCCUGGUUUAUGGCUUAAUUACACUGCCCCCAAGUGUGAGUUCCUGAGGAUCUACCGCUGGGGUGACCAUCCGUCCCAGUUUGCCCAACACUGAAGGGGUUUUCCAGGACAAGAGACUGCAGUGCUAACACAAGGAAAAUCCACGGCAAAUUGAGAGGAAUUGGUCACCCCACCUACCACAUCUGUGUCAAAGAUAUAGCCUUCACUGCUUUUCUAAGGAUAAACACCCCUGGACGCCAUACUUCUUUUCUUGGUGGGGAGGUGAGAACAGUGCUGAUUCUGUGCCUGUGUAAACAAGGGAGACCUCACGCUAGCUGGCCUGGACAGGGCGAAUGAACCUCAAGAAGAAUUGCCAACCAGACAUUUUCAUUCCAUCGAGCUGCCCCAAAUUUUAUUUUGGGUGUUUUACUUCUAGAAAUCAUCAUCGGCAUUAUUUUUUGGCCAUUUGGAGAGCAGCAAAGAAUAAAGUUUUCC
rnacentral:lncRNA from 1 species